rnacentral:pre_miRNA from 1 species
GGGCAAAGGUUAGGCAAGACUUUGGCGAAACUUGGAUUCAGGCAAUAUCAAAGUUUAACUCAAGUUUCACCCAACUCUUGCUA